GACGAACGCUGGCGGCGUGCUUAACACAUGCAAGACGAACGGAAAGGCCCUGCUUUUGUGGGGUGCUCGAGUGGCGAACGGGUGAGUAACACGUGAGUAACCUGCCCUUGACUUUGGGAUAACUUCAGGAAACUGGGGCUAAUACCGGAUAGGAGCUCCUGCUGCAUGGUGGGGGUUGGAAAGUUUCGGCGGUUGGGGAUGGACUCGCGGCUUAUCAGCUUGUUGGUGGGGUGGUGGCUUACCAAGGCUUUGACGGGUAGCCGGCCUGAGAGGGUGACCGGCCACAUUGGGACUGAGAUACGGCCCAGACUCCUACGGGAGGCAGCAGUGGGGAAUAUUGCACAAUGGGCGGAAGCCUGAUGCAGCAACGCCGCGUGCGGGAUGACGGCCUUCGGGUUGUAAACCGCUUUCGCCUGUGACGAAGCGUGAGUGACGGUAAUGGGUAAAGAAGCACCGGCUAACUACGUG
rnacentral:rRNA from 1 species